CUGACAUAUAUAACUAUUCCCAAGUAAAUUAUUUCUCAAUAAAUGGAUGCACAGUUUGUUGUUAAGUAACACUAAUAGCAAGUUCUCAUUUCAUUGUCUUGCCCUGUGUUUUAUUUGGAAUACACAUUAUGAUGAUGUUUGUAACCGCCCCAGGCUGACUUAUUGAUGGUACAAGAUUGUGAGAGAAUUCAAAUGAUCCUGGUCAUCUUCCAUUAAAAUAUUUCAAACUGAAGAAUCAAAUGAUGGCAAAGUCUUUCAAAUCGAGUAUCCUUUUAUUAAACUGGAAUUCAAACCCAAAAGUUGGAUAAAGAUUCUUGCAGAAAUGAUUUCGCAACCCUUCCGUGUUUGCAUUAUGUACCAGGUGAAAAAGAUGUCGUAUAUAUGAGGACGCUCUUCCGAGCUUGAAAAUUGAAAAAGAUAUGAAAAGCAACUUAUGAGCAGCAAUGAAGAUAUUUAUGGAAUAAUUGAAGACUACCUUACAAACCCAUUCUGCUGAAGCUGAGUUUCUCACUCCUUUAAAUUAAAAUCAAAAUAUAUUCCUGUGGAAAAAUACGAGUUGCGGCUGAUAAGUUUGCUACCUAAGGUACUUAAUGAAAAGGUAUCAUGUCGUUACUGAUAGCACAACUUGCGGCACUAAUUGAUAGAAUUAAUAGCAAACGUUUCUUCAAUUUGGUUCAUUAAUAUUUCAAACCUGGAACAAGCAACAAUGCCGUAGCGACCGAAACUGAAAAUUCUUGCAAUAUUGAGCACUGCACAUAAAUUACAUUUCUUGUAACAAAAACGGAAAUUCGACUAAAGAUCAUCAUUUCUUCAGGAUCCCGGGCCAUCAUAUACAAAAAUAAAAAAAUGGGCAAGACUUCUUCAACAAGAAAGAGAGCUGUCAAAACGAUCCAUGUCGGACCACCAUGUGCCGGUAGUGAUUGAAGAAAAUGUUUAAAAAGUAGAAAAAAAUGUUUUUUCCGACCGAAGAUUAAAAUUAAUAGAUAGCUGAAGAGUUACAGAUUAGUAAAGAACGAAUAUGAGAAAUUUUACAGCAAAAUUUACACGUGGAAGAAAAAGAAGAAAUUAUAUAAAAUGUAAUUGAAAUAGAGAUCAAUACCUACAUAACAUAGUUUCAUAAACCAUUGCUCAUGGAAUAAUCAAACAAUUUUUAAUGAUUUAAAAUCCUUUCUUUAACCCAUUAAUUCCCAAGGGUAAAAAUAAAGACAUUCAUUGGUUUAAUUGUUUAUGACGUUUAUAAAUACAUCUAAAAAGAGCAAAUUAUAGAAAAAAAAUAUUGAUAAAUUAUUUUACAUUCCGCAACAUGUUACGUCUAAUGAACGUUGGGAUUACUGAACUUAAAUUAGACAGGCAAGUACAUAUAACAAUGCAAUAUUAUUAGCGUGAGUGAAAUAUUUUGAAACAAUCAGCAUGAAGAUGUACUUGACAUUUUUUACACAUAUAAAUUGUUGUACUUCUACACUGUCGACAUUUUCUUUGACGUUUAUUUUCGUGCUCUUCUAUGACAUUACCAAUAUUAUUGAAGCCAAAUAUUGUAAGAACGCGUUUUUAGAUGGUCUUCUUAGAUAUUUGAAUUACCCAAAAAAUUUGAAUUAUGUAUCUGCAAGUUGGGCUUCUUCGGCUUUCAUCAAACUAAAAGCAAUGUAAGAUUUGAAUUCCAAAUGAUUCAAAGAUCGCUCAUUAGCUAUAUUGUAAAUUUUCCACGAGUUAACCAAUACACUGUCUAUCAAAUUGAUGAGCAGUGGCAACCACCACCUCUUCCCUCUUAUUCGAAUCCUAUAAUUGGCUAUUCCGUUUUCAUGGAGAUCUACACCUCCCAUAUUUUUAUUAUAAUCAGCUAUAACCUGGGGCGGUGCUGUGCUGCACAUUCACCAUCUUUUAUUAUUUUUCUAUCAUACCGUUUUGCUGUAACCAAUGGUUCGAUCUUUGCGUUGUUAGUAGCCACAGUCACCACAGAAUUGUCAUUCCAUCGAACCAACAGUACUUCAUGUUUUUGGUCGAAGCUAUAAUUAAAUGAUCCUCUCUUUUUUCUGAAGUUUUAUCGUAGUUAUCAAGGUUUCAUUCAUUGUUCUUUGUUUUUUCUAAUAGUACCAGUGGCAAAAAAACCUCUGUUUAUCAUUCAAAACAAUUUAUGUGAAGAAAAGAAAUUAUUAAAAAAAUGCGAUGUUUGCUUGGGUCUUCAAUAACGGACAAUAGAUCCGGUACAGUAUUUUCUCCAAGACCUAAGUCAUUUCUAGCAACGUCACUAUUCUUUCCGCCAUAUGGAAUAAACUGGUACAGAAAACCAUUCGAACUACACCAGCAUCAUAACUUGAAUUCAAAUCUUACAGGCUUUCCUUUGAUGAACAUCUUGCAACCAUGACGUCCAAAAUAUGGUAAAAUUUUUUCGUCAAUUGACAAGUCGUGUCAAAAUAUUCUAAACUGCAAUUUUCUUUUCUGGUUUAUUAUAUUGAAAAUAGGACGUAAUUUAGUGAAUUUAUCAUUUUAAUCCAGGUCAGCAUUAUCACACAAAUGAAUGUUUUUCUUUAUAGAGUCUAAUUUGUUACGACUCGUGCAACUUCUUACAAUCGAUUUAUUUUUGUCUUCAUCUUUUGACCAGUACAAUUUCGCAGCAGGGAAUCAAUGAUAUCCAGUCAGUAAUAAUGUGCAAAAAGUCUUGAGUUCUGCUACGGUGAGGGUAAAUAAAUGAGGGUUAUGGUCGCAAGCAUAAUUAUUUGAAAAUCUUACAAUCUGUUCCCAAACUUCAUCAAUAAAAAAUAGGGAAAAUACUUCCAUAGGUGUUUUUCCACCUACAAGUUCUUCAAUAUUUUGUGUCAUUGCUGUUUCGUCACUUGUAGGAAAUGUGUAAGUAUUAGAGAUGUUACGAAUGUCAUAUUUUCUACAGUCGCGAAUGCGAAUGGUAGGAGUGCGAAUGUUGCGAUUGCGAAGGUUUAGAAAUCAAAUUAAAUAAGGUUGAAAAAAAAUAAUUAUUAUUAUUUAUCAUUUUUAUUACAUACCCUAAUAGAAAGAACAAUCAGUCAGUACUCGAAUUUCAAUAGUGGAAUAUUUUAUUUUAAAAAUAGCAGUUUUGCUGCCUUUUCGCUCGUGAGGCGAUUUCUAAGCGUCUCGUAUAUUAGGCCAGUAGCACUGAAUAGCUGUUCACUUGGUACGUUUGCUGGUGGAGCGCUCGGAUACUUGCGAGCAACAACUUUUACCGAGUCUUAAUUUCACAUAUCAAUGUAUCAUCUACACUUUCUACGUCAGGAUCUUCACUUUCAUUUGAGGAUUCUAGUUUAAUUUGUGCUUGUAUCGUGCAGAAAAGUCAAGAUUGUGAAUAAAUUAUCAUUCUCCAGGUUGCUAAAUUUCUUGUUAAUUUCGCUUUUGAUAGCUUGAAUAAAAUUCCUUACAAUAUUACCAACGGCAUCGCCCUCGGCUGGUAUCUUUGUUUCUUCAAGGCUUAUUUUCAGUGUGUAAAUGAUUGGAAUCACAGAUGAGAUUAAAGAAUCUGAGCUGCUCAAACUGCAAGUAGCCUCUUCAAACGGCUUAAGAACUGUUACGCAUUGCUCCAUGGCUUUCCAUUCUUCAGACGAAGGUGAAAUACUGAAAUUGGUAUUGUCAUUAGCAUACAAGCACAAAGCAUCUUUUAGUUUCAAAAAUCUCUACUAAAUAAAAUGUGCUAUUCCAUCUCGUUGCACAGUCUGCUGUGACAGUUUGUGGAGUACGAUCUGGGUUUAAUCGCUGUUGGCUUGGGCCAAUUGAGUCUGAGCGAUAGUCGAAUGAUUAAAAUGUGAAAAAGUCUUUUUACAUUUUUGAAUCAUGCCCGUCAGGAACACUUGAGAAUUCAACCCGUGCUUAAUACAUACUUGUCUGUAACUUGUGAGCAGUACAAUCGAUAUCAUUAAAUCCGCCCAGUGUCACAGCACGCCUCAUAUUGGAUCCCUCGUCCCUUACCAUGCAGUGUAUUUGUUCCUUAUUUAUACACCAUUCUUUAACCCUUAAUUUGGUAAAGUAUAAAAUGCUAUAAAACCUGAAUUUUGUCAUCAGAAAUGUUAUUUAUACACAUAAAACGACUAUAGAUAAAUUUGAAAAGCUAAGUUGUCCUGAAAACUCAUGUAGGCCACAACAUACACCGCCAACUACUUAAGAAUACAAAUCAUUAAUGUGUUGUAUGCAAGGGCAUACAUUGCCAAUUACUGUAGGUACUGACUACGUAUGUAAAAAAAAACAACUAUUAUAUUUAUUAUUUAUUUUUAUAAAAAAAUACAUAGAAAUUACGUAGGCACAUGGUAAUCUAGUUGACAAUUACAGGAAUUUUAAAUGAAACAAGUGUUAUUCGGAUUUACUACGCGGAUUUUAUUAUUUAAAAACUACAUUAUCCCGACGUGAACACAUUCACACAUGAACACAUUCACACCUCGUCUGCCCGUGAUCAUGGUUGCUGCAAAGUAACCGAAACGUCGGGAUAAUGUAGUUUUUAAAUAAUAAAAUCCGCGUAGUAAAUCCGAAUAACACUUGUUUCAUUUAAAUGAAUACUCGCGAAAAUCUUAGAUCUCAUUACAGGAAUUUUAGUCAGUUACGAAACAAAGGCGGACUUGGCACUUCAUAUAUUGUACGACUGUAAGUUUUAAACACAAUCGGCAUCUUUCUUGUGUGGUCAUUGUCAUAAAAUGACCAACGUUGUCAAAUCGUGACUUUUCAACUGGACUGGCUUGUGGUUCUCCUUUUUUGGUGUCUUUGUUUACUACCCUCAGAACGCUGGUAUUUUUUUAGACCUUCGUGCAAUUCGAAUCUAGAGUCCUUCAAAGCAAUUGACUUUGUCUUGGAAUUUCUUCUGUGAAGGAGCCAUGCGUUAUUGAUACAUACACUGCCGGCCAAAAGUUUGAGACCACCUACAUAAAAGUUGGAAAUUGAUGUAAAACCCAAAAUAAAAAGCUGAACAUGAAAGGAUUUGUUGAAAUAUUUAUUAGGUAUGGCAAAUGCGAUGAAAUAUAAACAAAAAAUAUUAAACACUUCGACAAUUUAACUUAAAAUAUAUGUUGACAAGCUAAACAGAUUUUUCAUCAAAAAACCCUCCCUUGCAUUGAAUCACUUUGUUGACAAGUCUUGGCAUGCGGGCAAUCAAUUUGUCGAUUGUUUCUUGUGAAAUAUUGUUCCAG